rnacentral:tRNA from 1 species
GCGGAUGUAGCUCAGUUGGUAGAGCACAACCUUGCCAAGGUUGGGGUCGCGAGUUCGAGUCUCGUCAUCCGCUCCA